rnacentral:snoRNA from 1 species
AUCCCAUUGUGAGGGCACCUUCUCAAUAAGUCCUUGUAUCUCUCCCAUGCAUCGUAAAGUGUUUCUAAAUCCAUCUGCAUAAAAGAAGAGAUAUCAUUACGUAAUUU